CCUACGGGGCGCAGCAGUGAGGAAUAUUGGUCAAUGGACGAGAGUCUGAACCAGCCAAGUAGCGUGAAGGAUGACUGCCCUAUGGGUUGUAAACUUCUUUUAUAAAGGAAUAAAACGAGUCACGUGUGCCUUUUUGCAUGGACUUUAUGAAUAAGGAUCGGCUAACUCCGUGCCAGCAGCGGCGGUAAUACGGAGGAUCCGAGGGUUGUCCGGAUUUAUUGGGUUGAAAGGGAGCGUAGAUGGGUUGUUAAGUCAGUUGUGAAAGUUUGCGGCUCAACCGUAAAAUUGCAAUUGAUACUGGCAGUCUUGAGUACAGUUGAGGUAGGCGGAAUUCGUGGUGUAGCGGUGAAAUGCUUAGAUAUCACGAAGAACCCCGAUUGCGAAGGCAGCUUACUAAACUGUGACUGACAUUGAUGCUCGAAAGUGUGGGUAGCAAACAGGAUUAGAUACCCCAGUAGUC
rnacentral:rRNA from 1 species